UAUUGAUUAAUUGCAACAUGGUUAUUGUCGAUUACAUUCUGGCUGUCGUGGAUUACAUCGUACCUGUCGUGGAUUUCAUCGUGGUUGUCGUGGAUUACAUCGUGGCUGUCGUGGAUUACAUCGUGGCUGUCGUGGAUUUCAUCGUGGUUGUCGUGGAUUACAUCGUGGCUGUCGUGGAUUACGUCAUGGUUGUCGUGGAUUACAUCGUGGUUGUCGUGGAUUUUGUCAAACUAAUAUUGGGCUAAGGAUUACGUUAAUCUAUGAAUGAAGAACGACGACGAGCAAUGGUGUGAUAAUCAAACGUUAACUUACCGUUCAUAAACUUUGUUGUUUCACUUCAAAAUCUAUUUGACAUUGUGCCACACGAGUUAAAAAACACACGAUAAUUUCAUGGUGGUUUGUUGAAUUAUGAUAUGUAUCAAGAUUUGAGUAAAGCUGUAUGAGGGAAUCACAAAAGUUAUCAACAGAAUAAAUCCUAACACUACGUGUUGAUUGUCAGAGUAUGUUUCAUCCUAUGAACAAAACCACCUUACACAACACUGCUGGAAGUUUUAAAGAGGCAGUUGGUGCUCAUGACGAUCAAUUUAUAGUCCACGAAUGAAGACCAAAGACGACGUUUAAGGUAGCAGGUUUAUAGUGUUUUAGUUAAAGUCCUGGUGAUCUAUACUAACAGGAAGAUGAUUGAUCAUUGGCUGAGUGAAUAACAAAGUUAGUUGUUCUUUUGAUUCUUGUUAGUGUUGUUUUUUUUUAGUUUUGUGCAUGUGAUGCAGUGCUUUUGGCGGUUGAAACAUUUGCCUAAAAACGAUGAUAUAUCUUAUAUUGUCCAAAACGUUUUUCAAAUAAAACUGUCGUAUAAUGUAAGAUUAUCAUUGUACAAGGUAAAAUAUAUUUGUCUGAUGUCGGUUUUUAGAAGUUUUUCUUUCUUUUGAUCACCAGGAUACACGAUCUAAUUUCAAGGAAAUGAGCAUGGGUUUCUUUGUUUAUUAUCUUGUAUAUUAUACUUCUUAAAACUGAAUCAUAUGUAUAUUUAGUUAUCAAACUAGAAAAUUGCGGUCCAAAAAAUGGCGAAAUCCGAAUCACAGAUUGCACGUUAAAUUAACAAAAGAAAUUCGGACCGAAACAUGGCGUAAUCCGGCAUGCAAGCUGCAUAGCGCAAA